AACGAACGCUGGCGGCAUGCCUAACACAUGCAAGUCGAACGAACCCUUCGGGGUUAGCGGCGCACGGGUGCGUAACGCGUGGGAAUCUGCCCUUUGCUUCGGAAUAACAGUUAGAAAUGACUGCUAAUACCGGAUGAUGUCUACGGACCAAAGAUUUAUACGGCAAGGGAUGAGCCCGCGUAGGAUUAGGUAGUUGGUGGGGUAAAGGCCUACCAAGCCGACGAUCCUUAGCUGGUCUGAGAGGAUGAUCAGCCACACUGGGACUGAGACACGGCCCAGACUCCUACGGGAGGCAGCAGUGGGGAAUGUUGGACAAUGGGGGAAACCCUGAUCCAGCAAUGCCGCGUGAGUGAUGAAGGCCUUAGGGUUGUAAAGCUCUUUUACCAGGGAUGAUAAUGACAGUACCUGGAGAAUAAGCUCCGGCUAACUCCGUGCCAGCCGCCGCAGUAA
rnacentral:rRNA from 1 species